rnacentral:tRNA from 1 species
UCCCUAAUUGUCCAGUGGUUAGGACUCUGCCCUUCCACUGCAGGGGACCCAGGUUCGAUCCCUAGUCAGGAAA